rnacentral:tRNA from 1 species
GGUUUGUGGCUCAGUGGUACAGCACUUGCCUAGCCCGUGUGAGGCACUGGGUUCGAUCCUCAGCACCA